rnacentral:misc_RNA from 1 species
GGAAGGAUCAUUAAAUGUAUAUAUAGCACUCCUUCUGGAUGUACUUAUACAAACCCACUCUGUGUACCUUACCUGUUGCUUCCGUGGUGCAGUGGAUUCUGUCCACCCCUGGGCCUUAAAAACCCGGGGAGUCGCCACGAGAAGGUCAAUGUAAACUCUUGUUUUUUUUGUUUUCUGUCUGAAUAUGUUUAAUUUAAAAAAUUAAAACUUUCAACAACGGAUCUCUUGGUUCUCGCAUCGAUGAAGAACGCAGCGAAAUGCGAUACGUAGUGUGAAUUGCAGAAUUCAGUGAAUCAUCGAAUCUUUGAACGCACAUUGCGCCUCCUGGUAUUCCGGGAGGCAUGCCUGUUCGAGCGUCAUCAAACAAACCUCAAGCACUUUUGCUUGGUAUUGGAGAUGGAGGAAGCCGCAAGGUUCGCCUCCACUCCGAAAUUCAACGGCAGAGAGCUCUCGGUGCGAUUGCGUAGUAAGUAACUAUUUCGCGGUCACCUGGAAGCCUUCUCGCCAUAGAACCCCCAUUUUUCUUAGUUUGACCUCGGAUCAGGUAAGGAUACCCGCUGAACUUAAGCAUAUCAAUAAGCGGAGGAAAAGAAACCAACAGGGAUUGCCUUAGUAACUGCGAGUGAAGCGGCAAAAGCUCAAAUUUGAAAUCUGGCGUCUUUGGGCGUCCGAAUUGUAAUUUGAAGGGGCAUCUUCGGAGAUGGCGCCGUCCUAAGUUCCUUGGAACAGGACGUCAUAGAGGGUGAGAAUCCCGUGCCUGGGCGGCUGUCCGUCUCCAUGUGAAGUGUCUCCGACGAGUCGAGUUGUUUGGGAAUGCAGCUCAAAAUGGGUGGUAAAUUUCAUCUAAAGCUAAAUACUGGCGAGAGACCGAUAGCGCACAAGUAGAGUGAUCGAAAGAUGAAAAGCACUUUGAAAAGAGAGUUAAAAAGUACGUGAAAUUGUUGAAAGGGAAGCGCUUGAGAUCAGACUCGACCUUAGGUGAUCAGCUAGGCUUCGGCUUGGUGCACUUGCCUUUGGUUGGGCCAGCAUCGGUUCUGACGGCGGGAUAAAAGGCGAAGGAAUGUGGCUCCCCUCGGGGAGUGUUAUAGCCUCUGUCAUAAUGCCGCCAGUUGGGACCGAGGACCGCGCUUCGGCUAGGAUGCUGGCGUAAUGGUCUUAAGCGACCCGUCUUGAAACACGGACCAAGGAGUCUAACAUCUAUGCGAGUGUUCGGGUGGAAAACCCUUGCGCGUAAUGAAAGUGAACGGAGGUGGGAACCCCUCACGGGGUGCACCAUCGACCGAUCCUGAUGUCUUCGGAAGGAUUUGAGUAAGAGCAUAGCUGUUGGGACCCGAAAGAUGGUGAACUAUGCCUGAAUAGGGUGAAGCCAGAGGAAACUCUGGUGGAGGCUCGCAGCGGUUCUGACGUGCAAAUCGAUCGUCAAAUUUGGGUAUAGGGGCGAAAGACUAAUCGAACCAUCUAGUAGCUGGUUCCUGC